CCGCAAAGUGAAGGUCAAAGUGAAGGCUCCGUCCGCCCCUCCGCGCCGCUCCGCCGCAACGCCACGGCCGCCUCAGAGCCGCUCUUUGCUUCGGACCCCCCCACAGCCGCCCCCUCCCCUCCAUAUCCACCACGGGGGGAGGAGGGGGAGCAGAGAGCAAGAUGCAAACGCGUCUGCCGUGGAGGAAAUUAAACGUCAUAAAGAAAAGCCCAAUUAAGGUUUAAUGUCUGAACAUGACCAUUUCCUCCAGAAAACAAUGAAGUUCGCUCGGGAGACGGAUAGAGGGGCGAAGCAACCCCCCCCCUCUCCAAUCUAGAACCCCCAUCCCGGUCCUGUGAGGGGCCCCCGCAUCCCAAAAACCCCGCGAGGAGGAAGGGGGUGUGAGUGUGAGUGCUUGUGUGUGAGUGUGUGAGUGUGUUUGUGGUGUCCGCUCUUUGUCUGCUCUCUCGGG
ensembl:lncRNA